CCCCUUCCAUUCACGCCUCGAUGAGACUAUAUUUGAUGUGCCGGUUUACCGGCUAUGGCGAUAAACGCUUUGUGGAAUAAGCGUAACGGACCCGGGGGCAGUGCCCGGCGCCUCCACCAAACCUAAGGCGCGCGCCAAUUCAGCGCAAAUUUAUGGGGGCGAAACAGGAUCGACGUGCGUGGUAAAGGCAUGGUUUUCGCUCGGCAUGGUACCACCGUUAUCGGGCUAAUUUUACAAAUGCUAACGAUAAUGAAGCAUUUGCGGUAGCCGCUUAACAGCUAAGCUACCACGGGGUUCGGAGGGCACCUGGCAACAGAAGCCCUCCACU
rnacentral:tmRNA from 1 species